rnacentral:rRNA from 1 species
UGGGGAAUUGUUCGCAAUGGGCGCAAGCCUGACGACGCAACGCCGCGUGCAGGACGAAGGCCCUCGGGUUGUAAACUGCUGUCACGCUCUAGGAACCCCAUGUCGUGAAUAGCGGCAUGGCUGACCAAGGCGAAAGGAAGUGGCGGCUAACUACGUGCCAGCAGCCGCGGUAAUACGUAGGGACCAAGCGUUGUUCGGAUUUACUGGGCGUAAAGGGCGCGUAGGCGGCAUGACAAGUCACUUGUGAAAUCUCUGGGCUUAACCCAGAACGGCCAAGUGAUACUGUCGCGCUAGAGUGCAGAAGGGGCAAUCGGAAUUCUUGGUGUAGCGGUGAAAUGCGUAGAUAUCAAGAGGAACACCUGAGGUGAAGACGGGUUGCUGGGCUGACACUGACGCUGAGGCGCGAAAGCCAGGGGAGCAAACGGGAUUAGAUACCCAAGUAGUCCCUGAGCGGGCUGGCAAGGCGCAU